rnacentral:lncRNA from 1 species
AUUCAGGCUUGUCCGACUCUUCUUGACCCCACGGACUAUAUCACGCCAGGCCCUCCCAUCCUCCACUAUUUCUCCCAAAUCUGUCCAAGCCCAUGUCAUGACCUGGGGCCCAAUCUUACCUGCCCUUUCUCCCAGGCCGCUUGCGGGCCUUUUGUUUCAUUAUUGCAUAAGAGGCGUGUCUCUGCCAGGCGCCCCACCAACCCGGCCACACUGGCUGGGGGGAGCCGGGGAGGCGGCAGCCCCCGGGGAAGGAGGCGCCCCAGGUGCUUCUAGCUGCCUGUGCCCAGCACCUCCUUAAGGUGGGCACGGACCUGCCCCUGCCCAAGGAGGGGAGCCCGUGCCAACCUUCCCCAGGCCUAAGGGCCGCGUGUGCAGGGAACGGUGCGGUACAACCAAGUCAAGUACGAGGUAUGGUGUUACCCAAAAGGGAGGGAGAGCAGCGCAGCCCGGACGGUGCUGUGGUCAACCCCGAUGCGCUUGCUGGAGCCUCAGCCCCUCCCCCCCACACCCUUCUCUCGCCAGCCCCGCGGCCUGAACCUGCCCCAGGGGACCACUUGGCCGAGCCCAGCAGCCCCAGGCACAGUUACAGGAAAUCCAAGAGAAAAAGUGAAAGGCCUGGAACAUCUAUCCAUCUUCUAGGAGCAAAAUUUGGAAUUAUGAACAACAUUUCCAUAUAGUGACUUGAAAUCAGUUUUGAAACAAAAAGCU